rnacentral:rRNA from 1 species
GUGCCAGCAGCCGCGGUAAUACGUAGGUGGCAAGCGUUGUCCGGAUUUAUUGGGCGUAAAGCGAACGCAGGCGGGAAGAUAAGUCAGCUGUGAAAGCCCUCGGCUCAACCGGGGAAGAGCAGCUGAAACUAUAUUUCUUGAGUGCAGAAGAGGAGAGUGGAACUCCAUGUGUAGCGGUGGAAUGCGUAGAUAUAUGGAAGAACACCAGUGGCGAAGGCGGCUCUCUGGUCUGUAACUGACGCUGAGGUUCGAAAGCAUGGGUAGCGAACAGGAUUAGAUACCCUGGUAGUCCAUGCCGUAAACGAUGGAUACUAGUUGUUAGAGGGUUUCCGCCCUUUAGUGACGAAGCAAACGCAUUAAGUGUUCCGCCGUGGGGAGUACGACCGCAAGGUUAAAACUCAAAGGAAUUGGACGGGGGCCCGCACAAGCGGUGGAGCAUGUUGGUUUAA